ACUAAGAUUACAAUAACAUCGGGAUCGAAGUCGGGCUCGAUGAACAAUUAAUUUUAACAACUCCGAAAUUCAAAAAUAUCGAAUGCCAUGUUCAUCAUGUUGAUGUUCCACAGAAGGAAAGUUGGAACGAGUGCCACGAACAGGGGGAUCAUGGUCAGCUUGGGAUGGAAGAAGAUGACGACAUUUUUAAGACCGUUGCUGCAUUGCCUGAGAUGAUUUUCACAGCCCUGGCCUUUGAUAAAGUGCAUAUACAUGUAGAUGCUUAACCAAUCAGUCACUAGGCUUGUGAAUAUGGAAUCCGGAUGCUCACAAGAUUUAGGACAAGAACUGUAUAAAAAAUG